UACGUACCGUCCAAACGUUAUUCGGAAUCACUGGGCUUAAAGAGUUCGUAGGCAGCCCAGAAAGUUGGGUGUGAAAUCCCUCGGCUCAACCGAGGAAUUGCGCUCAAAACUACUGGGCUAGAGGGAGAUAGAGGUGAGCGGAACUGAUGGUGGAGCGGUGAAAUGCGCAGAUAUCAGGAGGAACACCGAUGGCGAAGGCAGCUCGCUGGGACGGUACUGACGCUGAGGCGCGAAAGCCAGGGGAGCAAACGGG
rnacentral:rRNA from 1 species